rnacentral:sRNA from 1 species
AUUCAUUUUAUUAUUUCAUUACAAUUAUACACAAUCCUCUCUUACAUACAAAUAUUAUCUUGAUUCAAAGAAUUAUUUUAUUUCUUUCUCUCUUCAUAAUCUGCAUACAAGGACAAAAUACAAAUCCUCGUUAAAAUCCACACCCUUAAGUCUUCUGUGUAUCACAAACCAGAAGAAUAAAUGAAAUUUACUGAAUUAAACUUCAAUUGUUUUCUGAUUUAGAGCAGUGUAUCUCCAUCUCUCCUUCUCCACAAAAUCAGCAUCAAGGAACCUGGCAACAAAAGUCCAUAGUUUAUAUACAUCUUCAAAAUUAGCCAGGAAACUUAAUGCAGCAGUAACUACUGUUACUCCUAGUUUAUCCCUAUCUUUCUUCUUGUUGGUGGUUAGUCCCCGGCCUCUUCCUUCUUUGGUCUGUAGAACUUUUCCCUUGUCUUCUGAAUACUUAUCUGCAAACCAAAUAUGAUGCAGAAACCCAUAGCUGAGAGAUAUAUUGUUCCUAUCAGCAAGUUUCUGCACAAGGACGGGCUCAACCUUCUCGCCUUUCCAAUCAAACACAUUGAAUGCCAAAGCAGGCCCCCUAUCAAAUUUUACCUUUGGGCCAUAAAUCUUCACUAGUGGUUCCCCUGCUGCAUUAGGGUGCUUCAGCUUCAUCAUGGAGUUCACCAGCCAAUUUAUCAGGCUCUCAACCACUUCUUUUGCUUCAACACUUCCAGAGCCUUUUUCUGGCUCUGCUGCUGCCACCAUGAUCUGAAGCUCACAUGAUUCUUCUUCAACUUUUAAAGCUUCCGAAGUUUGUAUCCGACCAGAGAAAGAAUUUAAGGAAGACAAAUCUUGGUCUUGCAAGCUAGAUAAUGGUUUUUGUUUGCAGUUCCCAGAAGAACACUUAUCUUCUGAUGACUGACGUAGAAACCUAUCUGGUACGAGGUUCACAAUUCCUGCGCAAGAAGAGGAUUCAAGAGUGGUAAUAGCAGAUUUCUUGACAAAAAGGCAUCCAAACCCUGAUGGAUUUUCUCCGAAGACCUUGUAAAAUGAGCAGAUGAGAAAGUCGGGUUGAAAGAGAGAUAGGCCAAAGCUAUCCAUGUCUUUGGGACCCAAUGCACAAGCAUCAAUCAACACAUGCCAUCCAUUCUCCUGUGCUAUGCUCAUCCACAGGUAAGGAUAUCUUGCUCCUGUUACCCUGGAGUGAAGUGGAAAUACGAAGAGACCCCUCUUCUUUUUCUUCUUCUUCUUGCUAACAAUCAUCUUCCUCAGUUUUGUUGACUGAAUCCUCAGCCUUGACCAUGAGAACUCUGCUGACAUGGCCUUGGCUCCUCUCUUCUCCGAGCAACAGAUCAUUGCUUCCACUGCCUCACUCUCAUAGUCAUAAACUGUCAGAAGCUUCUUGCUAGAUUGGAAUGGAUACGAGUCUGCCACAAGUUUGAAAGCUGAAGUUCUGUUUGCUGUGAAAACCAUGAAGUAGUCAUUUUCAGAAAUGUUGAGAAACUUCAUUAUUCUUCUCUUCAUGGCAGACUCAAACUCUGACUCCUGCCCUCCAUGAAGCAAAAGUGUUUUCAGAUUCCCAGUCUUGUAGGAUAUGCUAAAGAAGGGAAUAUCCGAAUAUUGGGGAGGGGAUAGAGGUGUUGAAGAAGAGGCAAGUUGGGUUUUUGAGGUGUCAUGAUGGUGUUGGCGUUGGUAAUAAGAGAAGAGGCCAAUACCAAUGUAGUCAAGGCAUGAUUGGUUGGAGAAAGAGAGAUGGUAAUAUUCCUUAGCUCUUAAAUGGUCCACUUGGUCAGUUUCGGAGUAUUGAGGAUACACUUUCUUGAAUUCACCGAAUGAUUCAUGAAGAGAAGGAAGGGACUCGUGGUUGGUGAAUUUGGUGUUUGGGAAGAUAUAGGAUGACGUCGUGGCUACAAAGCUGUGGCGACACUCUGCAGAACUGUUUCUGGGUUUGGUUGUUGUGUUCUGAGAUUGAGGUGGUGGAGGAUUGAACAAUAAAGUAGGGCAACAACCUUGAGGGCAUGAUAGGGAGCCCUCGUUUUGACCAAGGGACUGCAUCUUUUUUUCUUCUCUGCACUCAGACGAAUUCUGGUUGUUAUAUAUACCUGUUUGACAGAUAGAUUUAUUGACAAUUUAUUCUGUGUUGUAAACAAACAUAAAGAUUACAGAACUUUUGUAUUGAUUUAUCUGUAAUUAUGUGGCUGACACAGUACUGUGUGAACACACUGACAAGGUCAGGUAGCACAAUUUGGACUAUUUCUUCUUUUCUUGGGUAGUUUGUCAAGUUGACCUCUUAGUUAUAUUGUGUCUCAUAGUCCAAUCAAUCUGCUUUAAGGCGUGAUGGUGGUGGUGAUGGAUGUGCUUUGGGGGAUUUCCUUACACGUUAUAUAUAAAGAAAAG